AUGAGCCAUAGGUGAGUCAUGCAACCAAAAAGUUAAAAGGUUCACCAACUAUUGACACCUCUUUAUAUACACUUGCGGAAUGCUAGAUUUGAUCAAUCUAAGCAUCCUCUACAUAUCUCACAGCGAAAUACACUAGUCUGCAGAAGUUUGCAGCUGCACCGAAAAGACAGUUCGAGUCAUUAAGUCCAGAAGUUAUCAAAUCUUCCCUGCGCAUAAAUUAUGAAGACUUCACAGAAACAAGUUAUUGGAAUUCCAAUCAGAACAGCAUCAUAUGCAGUUGAGAAGAUGCCGAGACUGUUACUUGAAAAUGCUGAGCAGCGCUAUAUUCCAAGUCCUGCAAAUAAAGCUCUCGCAUGCAAGCAAAAUAAAAUAGAUUCGAUGCUUAAAAGGAUGAACAAGCUAGGGAAAAAAGCUGACAAAUUUGCUCAUGGAAUCCGAGAGCAUAUGAGGUUGGGGACCAAGAUCACUGAAACUCUUGUAGGGAAGCUGAGCUUGGGGGCUAGGAUCCUUCAAGUAGGAGGGGUGAAGAAAGUUUUUAGGCAGUUAUUUAGUGUUAGUGAAGGAGAAAGAUUGUUGAGAGUUUGUCAAUGUUAUUUGUCAACCACAGCUGGUCCUAUUGCAGGCCUCCUCUUUAUCUCUACUGAAAAGCUUGCCUUCUGCAGUGAGAGAUCAAUUAAGUUGUCUUCUCCAGAAGGAAAAUUGGUCAGAAUUCAUUAUAAGGUAGUUGUCCCAUUAAGAAAGAUAAGGACAGCCAACCAGAGUGAGAAUGCGAAGAAGCCAUCAGAGAAGUACAUAGAAAUAGUUACUGUAGAUGAUUUUGAUUUCUGGUUUAUGGGUUUCUUCAGCUACCAGAAAGCUUUCAAGUCUCUUCAGCAGGCAAUAACGCAAACUCAGACGAAUACAAGUCAUUCAGCUCCUCAUUUGUAAUCAAAAUAUAGGUUUUUCUUUGCACUUUCAGAAGUGGCAGCCAUGAUGGAAGGAAUCUCUCAGCUAAUAACUGGCUUUUAAAUUCAUUGAGAAAAACAAUGGCCUAACUGCUGAGGCCAACUACCCAAACAAGGGAACGGAUAGCACUUGCCACGCCAACAUGGAAGCUAGCCAUGCAGCAAAGAUAACCCGGUUUGAAGAUGUGACUGCAAACGGUGAAGCUGCAUUGUGAAGGCUUUUGCUAAACAACAAGUUUCCGUUUCCAUUCAUGCUGGGGGAUUUUGAGUGCCAAUUCUACUUAAGUGGCAUCUUUACUGAGAACGUGGCACUCAACUUGACCAUGGUGUUACAGUCGUUGGUCAUGGAGUUAGCGAGCGAAUAAGGUAUUUGUUGCUGAUGAACUCGUAGGGUGUAAAAUAGGCGGAGAGGGAUACAUCCGAAUGCAGUGUGAUGUAUCUGCCAGGGAAGGACUUCGUGGCAUGGCCAUACAAGCCUCUUACCCUACUUCCUGAAGUUUCCAUAUCUCAAAACAUGCCAUCACCUGCUGUUGGUUAUUUCUAUCACCUAUCAAACGUGUAUGCUUGUUUUCCACAUUUUCUUCUUUUUUUGCAAAAUAUCCCAGGAAGAACUCAUAAUAGCAUCUCAAACGAGUCUGUAAUUCUGUACAUGGUGUCUAUUUAUGUUAUAAUAUAACUUUCUCGCAUUGUUCCAGAAA